AACGAACGCUGGCGGCGUGCCUAACACAUGCAAGUCGAGCGGGAAAGUCUCCUUCGGGAGGCGAGUAUAGCGGCGCACGGGUGAGUAACGCGUAGGUAACCUGCCCCUAAGUCUGGGAUAACUUGUCGAAAGACGAGCUAAUACCGGAUAAUUCCUCCCGACUAACGUCGGGGGUGUAAAAAGAUGGCCUCUACUUGUAAGCUAUCGCUUAUUGAUGGGCCUGCGUGCCAUUAGCUAGNGGUGAGGUAAUGGCUCACCAAGGCGGAGAUGGCUAGCUGGUCUGAGAGGAUGAUCAGCCACAC
rnacentral:rRNA from 1 species